GGCACGCCUGCGCACUAGCGGCACGACGCCCCAAUCGUCCUUUGUCAAAGCCCAAGGAUCCGCCUCCCGCCCUAACAAAAGGACGUGGGCGUCCAAUCAGGAGGGACGCUGCUGUGGGCGGGGCCGGGGGAGCGGCAGCCAAUGACAGUGCAGGAGCGCAGCUGGGCGUGAGAGAGCCGGUCCCGUGGGAGCCGCGAGACGCGGGUUAGAGACCCAGCGCGGAGAGCUCUGGCCGCUGUCCGGAGGGAGUUCAACUUUGUUUUACUAAGAAUGAGAAUGCAUCUAGAUAUUUUUGCUUCACAUCUGGUUAUUGAAUUCAUUGGAGAAUGAAUGCUGUCCUAAAUUUGACGAUCUACUCAUGCAGCAUAAAGAUGGCAGAUUUCACUCCAAUAUUCAUCAAACGUUAUGUGGACUCGUUGUACUUCAAGGAUGCUUCUCAGAGCCAGUAAAACAGCAACUGGAUAAAUAUAGGAAGAUGACGCACCAACUCUGAGUGGAUGUGCACGCAUGAGCAUGCAUGCACAAACAAGCCUACAAGCUGUGGACUACCACGUGGCCCUCAGCCUCCAGGAAUUGACAUUCAGGCUCCCAGAGCCAGAAACUCUGAACGGAAUGUGACGUCAUCAAAGAAGCCUGGCAGGAGGAUGAGAUGAGGCCACGAGCACAGUCAUCCCCUUGGCUCCUUGGAGCAUUCUCAGCAGUCGCCCUCAGUCGUCCCUGGCUAUAUAUAGCCCUGCUUACUGCUGUGCACAUGGCAUCUUUCUCAAUGAAAUACCAGAAGUCCUUCCAGACUCCGUGAAAGCAUCAGCUAAGUGGCAUUUGAAAGUUUUUGAAAAUGAGUGGGGGAAACAGAGUAGGUGUUUUGCUCAUUGUGAAAGGCAAACGCUGAUUUGGAAGGUUUCGAGGUAGGGAACAUGGGCCAAACCCAGUACAGCCAGUUUUUAAUUACCAGCACAAUUAGCAGCCUGGCUUAACAACAAGCCUAUUUUGUCGAGCUCUGUUUAAGAAUCAGCGAAUUGCAGCAAUAGUACCAAACAGAUGAACAAUGCAGUGAUCAUAUCCCACUCUUGAAAAUCGGUGUGCUGCCUAUACAGUCCUGGGUUGCCACCAACAAGCAUCUGACUCCCUCUUCCUGGCCCUGACUAAGUUGGCAUAGGGCAGGGAUCAUGUCUUAUGAGGCCAUCUGCCCUGUGGUUGAUCAAUCCAUAUUAAGUGAAUUCUACUAAAUGAAUGUGAUGUACAUCAACAUUAACUUCUGGGGAUAAAACAAAACAGAGUCUGUCUUCAUAUCAUCCCUAGUUGUGACCAUUAUUUGAAAUUUGGACUCUUUAAUGUAAAAGCACAUGAUCCCUAAAGGUUAAUCAGAAGCAUCUCCUUGGGGACAGGAUUUCUACGGGAGACCCAGUGUCUAAGAGCCUCCAUUGGGCCUUGGAAUGCUUUUGUGUGAGCCCCCUUGGUAAAACUUGUAUAUACUUUAAUCUUUUAAUCAAAUCAGGCCAAAGAGACUCAGACAAGUCAAGAAUGCUCCUCUGAGGCCUCUGAGGAACAACAGAGUCCCAGAAAUGACAUCAGCAGACCUUUGUAAGGAACCAGAGACUGGAGGGUUCUAGGCCUUAAGACUUCGCCUGUGGAAUUGAGUCAGAGGAGCAGAAACCAUAGUCUUCAAUCAGUUUCUGCUCAGCUUUCACUGAGCCUGCAGCCCUCUCAUUGGAGCAGACAGAGCUGGACAGAAUAGGGCAAAGAUCUUUCCAGAAGAAAAUUCUGAGGAUCCUGACCUCACUCCGACAGGAAACGGUGUUGGUGACAGAGUUCUGGGAGGUACUCAGAAUGAAUCUCUCUGGAGCCAACAUCCAGCACAACUGCCGUCUCUGAGGAAAGCUAUGAUUAUGAGCUUGACCUGCUCUGUCAACAGGCGAAUACUUUAUAGGGCCCAGGCUUGGCUAACAGCACAGGAGAGACCAAAACCUCUUCCAUCAGAGCCCUCCUGGCACGCAGACAGUCCUCCACCCAGGCUCCGAGUGAACACCCAUAUGCCCAAGAGGUCCUGCAAGUAGCCAAGAGAGAGCUGGAUGUGAAAGAGUCUCAUGGUCAGGCACAAGGGAUGAGUCAGCAGCCACCUGGUGAACCAGUAACUGAAGAGCAGAUGGCAAGGUGGACACCUCGGGGGAGGCCAGCAUGGAUGUCCCUGGAGCUCUGGACCAUGCAACCUGGACAUUCUGCAGAACAUUACAUUGAUCUAUUAUACUGAUGACAUCAUGCUGAUCAGGCAAGAUAAGCAAGAGUAGUUUCCCGAGUUCCAAUUCCUAUAAAGUGAAGUAAAGAACGCCAAGUGACACCUGCACAUGUAGUAGGUUGCAUUAUAGAAGAGAAACUUUGAACUUACAAAACCCAAAUCUUCUAUGAUGGACUAUAAGCAUGACUGCUUUUCGUUCUGGAGGAAGACACUCUCUCUGUUUUCCAAGGCCAUCUACUAUGUAAGCAUCCUGGAAAAGAUGAUCUGAAAAAAAGGAAGUCAGUGCCUCUCCUUGCAAACAUGCAGAAAUAAGAGUCCCAUGGAGAAUUGUCUCUUGCAUGGCUCAAUAUGGGAUGCGAGCCAGAAAUGAACAGCGACUAUAUUUUACAGCCAUAUUCGGGGGAGUAACCUUGAAAUACAGUGGAGGAGAAAAAGCUUCCCAAUGGGGAGAGAAAUGAACAUUGCCCCAGAUCAUCCAUUUUGUGACCUGAGAAAAACCCGUUCCUGGUGGCAAGGAUGCGUCUGCUGCAGGGACGUAGGAGAUGGAUCUAGCACAGCAUCUAUGAACACAGCUCUGGGCCUGAGGCUUAACCUUGAUUAAGCAACAUCGCAUCCGAUCCAAGUUCUCUCCACCUUCCACCCAGCCUCUGCUCCCCCUGGGGGACCAAACCUGCCCGGGACCCUCCACUCCUGCUUAGCCUCAGGAUAUUGCCAAGGAGAUUUUGAGGGCAGCGGAAAAAUACAGCUCCUACUGAUAACACCUGUCAUGUCCUCCCUGGGAAAGCUGGUGACCCUACCCCAAAAGGCUUUAUAAACAGAUGCAUCACUGUGGUCCUGGGGCAUCACAGCCUGACAGACUGAUCAUCCCACAGACUCAAGAGUGGAGUCAUUAAAUCACCCUCUCAUUUUACAGGUGAUCAGAGGAGUUUAUGAUGUCAUUUUCCUAAAACACUCAAUGACUGCUUCCUAAACAGAACUUGUCAGGCACUAUGGUUGGCACUUGGGGUGCCCAGAUGAAUGAGAAGCUGAGUCCGGUGUCAAGGAGCUAACUCUUUUGCGGAGAAGACAGAUAAAAUACAACUUGCUGUUGGCUGGAGGGAGGGAGAAGCUCUUGGCAUCUCCCUAAGGGUCGGAAAGGUGAUGCACCUGCAGAAGGAGAAACUGGGGUCUCCCCUACGGAGAGAUUCAUGGCGGCCACGAACAAACCUUUCCACACACUAAGAGCCAUCUGAGCAAAUCAGAGCUCGGCACUGAGCCCAUCAGAGUGGGAAGCUUGAGGCAGACAGUGUUCUUUUGACAGACAUUUUGUGAUCUGCUUGGUUCUGUUAAAGAGACCUGCUCCCUUUCUGCCCGCCUCUGGAGGCCCACCCAUUGUUGGGCCCAAGUUAAAGGAGAUCUCGGCCAAAUACAGACAUUGAUUAGUGAGACAAGAAAGGAGAAAAGGUAUACAAGGAAAAAAAAUUUUUCCCAAGAAGGUAUGUAAGUAGAAGGAGCGAAUUAAAGUCAAAAUCUGAACUGAGAAUUUUGAAAAGUACUUAAGGACUUGGGCCGGAGGUGGGGUGGGGGUAGGGGGCAUUGAAGACCUAAUGUUUGCUACAUCUGGAGCAAGACCGCUUUUCCCAUUGAAAAUAAUUUUAUAAAAAUCUGGCAACACAGUCCUUGUGUCCAGACACUUGAUUAGGUGUUUGCUUAACUUGCUGGGAUGCCCUGAUUUUUCUCCUCCACCGUUUCCAAGGUCUGUGCUUUCCAGCCGGUGCACCGGCCUUAGGAAGGAGGCGUGACGGCAGGGCGCCUGGGCUGUUCCUGGGGCCUGAGUCCACAGUGAGUUGGUAGAUGUGUGUGAGCGAGGAGACGCAGAGCCCUGUCAGAGAAUUCUUGUGGCCCAGCCUGCGGGUUAGAAAUAGUCACAGACAGGAGCCUUUGGAGGAUUUGAAAGGCACUUAAUGGUUAUUUUGUCAUGACCACACCAUUUCUUAGGAUGCCUAUUUAAGAGCAGCCAUUCAACUCAUAAUUCUAGUUCAGCAGAGCAAGACCAGAGGGUUUUGCUUCUCCCCAAACACCGCAGAACUUUGGUAAAAAUCAAGUCAGGACCUCAUAUCGUUCCAACCUCCUUAUUAAAAGUACCCCUUUCUUGUUAUUUCUUCUUGACGUCUGCCCUUCCCCUACCUCUAGCAUGUGUAUGUGUCCACUCAUUCAUUCCAGAAAGACUCACUGAGUCCCUAACGUGGGCCAAGCACUCUGGAUAUGGCAAUGAGCAAAAUAGGCAAAUAUCUCGGCCCAGCUGGAGCUUGCAUUCUGGCUAAAUUCUUGCUAAGGCCUUCUGCGGAAAUGUCAAUUGGAAACGAAGGUAUUGAUGGAGUUGUCAAGGACUGAGGGUAGCAUUCCCUUUGUCACCCAGGGAAUCAGUACCCCUGGGGGGUGGCCCCAGCAAUGGUGUGCACUAUGACACUCGCCCGGCGGCGUGAGAGCGAUGACGGAGGGCACCCCUGCCUCCAGGGAGGGACCUUGAUCUUUGCAGGUUCCUCUUGGGAUUUCACCACCUGGACAGGUGCCCAUUCGUUCUGUACCUCUCCACCGCCCGGCUGGACAGAAGUCUCCUCUGCUCUGCCCGGAAAGAAAAGUUAUCAGGACCCACUCUCAGAAGACUGACUCCACUUGCCAUCUUCCCCAUGGCUGUCUGGCCACACAACCGUUUUCAAGGGAAGGGGGACAGAAAGCCCAGGAAGAGGACUUCUGGAGUGAUCCAGCUCCCAGAGUGAGAAAGUAGAGAAAAGUUACAUGUGGAGAAGAAAAGAUGGCCUUUCCUCUUGAAGUUGUUCGCUCUUCUAUGCAGUAAAUCCAACAUUCUAGAAUGCCUGCAUAAUGCAAGACGUGGGCAAGAUACUUCUGAAGAAACUUGGACUACAAAUCAACCGUGUGUGAGGAAUUCCACUACCGGGGACCUGCUAGGGGAGGUCUGAUUGCUAGGAUCUCCUUAUUACCUGGGUGGAGCCAUUACGUCGACAGGUCGAAAGGAUUUUUUUUCCCCAGGAGGAUGCAGAUGCUAGUAUCAGAUAUGCCAUAUUUAGAAGAUAAUAUGAGGAAGUAUUUUAGUCUUGUCUCCAUCAUCAUGUAAGCUGAGUCCUCCCAGGAACUGUGUGAGGUCGGUGAGGGAGGCCCGUUGGCUUUCCCGAGUCCCUGAGCCAAUGAACUCCAGGGCCGAGGGUCCAUCGACCGAGGUCCACGGAGCUGCGGCCCAGGGCGGGGAGGCUAGGGGAGGCCGGGGGAGGCCCGGAGCCUCAGGCCCCACAGCCGGCGAUCCUGGCCAGGACCCCCUUCUCGUGCUUCCUCUGCCAACGAAGAACGACGGUGUCUAGACCGCCUUGGUGGCCCGACCCUCCGCUUCGCCUCCUCGUCAGCCGAGCCCUGGGGACAGACCCUUGGUCAGAGCAGUGAAAGAAGACUUCAUAGAGGCAUUUAAAGUGACAUCACCAUGCCAAUCCCAACUUACUACAACCGGCGAGAAGCAACUGCUAGACCAGAUUAAAUACGACGAAGAAAACACCUCAGACUCAUUCUUCUGUGCAAGGAGCCCGACUUGCAGAGUCCAAAGGAAUGCUGUUACUCAUCCAUGGAUGGUGAGCGGAAUUGGAUCAGUGAACUUCCACUGUCCCCGGCAGACAUUACUUCAUCCAGGUCUGUUCCUUAUGGCAGCUGAGGAACACUGGGUCCUAUCAGAUGGACACAGAAGGAUGAUGCAUCGUUGGCCUAAAGAAAAGGGAAUCUGGUUCAACUCCUUAGAACUGCCAACUUUGGCUCAGAGCCAGAGCCUCAGGACAACUUGGUACAGACCAACAGCACUGAUGAUGUGUCCAUAGCUCCCAUCUAGAAGUUUUUCUACAUAGCAGGCUGAAAGAAAAGAUAAAGGUGGUUCUGCUAUCGGAGAGUAUGGUAGGGAAAAGGAGCUAAUAUGGCUUCCCCAGGACUUGGACUUCUCUAGGACUUUCAUGGAGUUCUUUGGGAUGGUGACCAACAAGGCUGGCAGCCUCGUGGGAGUAUAUCACGAGAGUCUAGAAGUAGCCAGUAUGAAAGCUUCUGUCUCUUCUAAGGUCACUGGAGCAGAUUAAGAUCUCUAAUUCAGCAUGACUUGACUCUGUUGCUCAAGAUGCAAGUCUCAUUCACUUCCUGCUUCUUUCUUCUAAUCAGCCAGCACAAUUAGGAUGGGGUUUCUGACCUCAAAUAUGUCACAGUUCCACUGCACAGGUCAGUUUUCUUAAAGACUCUUCCCCUGUUUCCCAGUACACAACUUGACAGUCCUUUCUGUCCCUACAUUUUGGUCUUGGCGCUUGUGGCUGCCAUUCCCACCAUCCUGAUGAGAUGAAAGGCGGGUGCCUCUGUGUGUGUGUGUGCACACGCACGUGAACAUACACCCAUGAGGAGUCGGCCUUUCUUUUUUGUAUGGUCCACUCAUGCACCAAAGUAGCAAACUAUGCUGUAGUUGUGCAAGAAUAGCUCCAUUUGUCAUUGGGGAACUCUAGGGUAAAGCCACAAAAUGUGCUCCUCCACCUGUUGGCCCUCAAAGGGAAGGAUGCAAAUUCUUGUGUAUUUUUGGUUUCCCUUCAUGAUAGGAGAGGUAAAGAGCCGGACAGGAAUGCAUUUUGCUGCUAUGUUGUCCUCUUUUUUUUUUUUUUUUUUUUUUUUCAGAAUUGCCAAAUUCUCAAUAAAAAAUUAAAUUCUGAGCCACAGGAAAGAGCUAGCUUUAGAACUCAGGUUUCAAAACUGAAGACCCAGUACUCAAGACCCUGUAAAUCAAACUAUAGUCUUUUAUGGUUGAUGCACAUGCUUGGAGGGAGAAGGAAUAAGAAUUAAAGCAUAGUGAAGAGAGAUUAGCGUGAAUGCAGAGUCAUAGCUUCCUCUCUGCAGUGAAGCCAUGUGUUUCCUGAAUUAAUAGAGAUAUUAUUUAGUUAACAUGUGAAGAAGACAAAGACUACUUUGUGAUGUCUUUUUCUUACAAUUUUCUGUGUUUUUAGAAUCUGAAUUGAUUUCUCGCUAUAGAAUUAAUUCAGUAAAAUUUUGUAACAGACUUCAAGGAGGGGCAGUUACGACACAGAAAGUUGCACGUUAACUAAGUAGUCUUCUGAAAUAGUACAGCAGCGUCAAUGAAAGAGACUCUCUCACGUUGGUUUCACUACUUAAAGAAAGAAAUAUAUCUAGCAAUAAGGGCUAAGUAAAACAAUAAUUGCCUCAAUGACAACAAUCAUGAACAGCGAACCGCAUCACAAACCCCCAAGUUGUCUGGGGUUGCCUGUUUCUUUUUGUUCAGAAUCAGGCACUGGUGUGUUCAGACCGGCUCGGGGAGGAGGGGUGGUGUGUGUGUGUGUGUGUGUGUGUGUGUGUGUUGGGGUGGGGGGGAGUUUGAACAAGUGUCCAUACGCAGGAGCCCUCCGGCUGGCUGGCGAAGGACUCUAACUACCUUGGACUCCAGUCGCUCUGUGUCUGCCCUUGUGUUGCCACUCGGGGUAGGGACGACACGCAGCUGCUGCGAGGCCCCGCUGCUGCCGCCGCUGCUGCCGCCUGGCCGUGCACGGUUCUACGAGGAGGAUGCACGAAGGAGGUCCAACAGCAGCUCGGGCUUUUGCAGGGCUUUGCAGGGCUUUGCAGGGUACCUCGCUCGCAACGAGGAACCCCAGGCGGGCGCGUUCACGAGGCCAUCCGCGCACACACGCGUGCACACACACACACACACACAGGUCAAAAGUUGAUCCUCCCCCCCCCCGCUCCAUCCCCCCGCCUGCUCGGAAUCUCUU